rnacentral:rRNA from 1 species
GACGAACGCUGGCGGCGUGCUUAACACAUGCAAGUCGAACGGAAAGGCCCUGCUUUUGUGGGGUGCUCGAGUGGCGAACGGGUGAGUAACACGUGAGUAACCUGCCCUUGACUUUGGGAUAACUUCAGGAAACUGGGGCUAAUACCGGAUAGGAGCUCCUGCUGCAUGGUGGGGGUUGGAAAGUUUCGGCGGUUGGGGAUGGACUCGCGGCUUAUCGGCUUGUUGGUGGGGUAGUGGCUUACCAAGGCUUUGACGGGUAGCCGGCCUGAGAGGGUGACCGGCCACAUUGGGACUGAGAUGCGGCCCAGACUCCUACGGGAGGCAGCAGUGGGGAAUAUUGCACAAUGGGCGGAAGCCUGAUGCAGCAACGCCGCGUGCGGGAUGACGGCCUUCGGGUUGUAAACCGCUUUCGCCUGUGACGAAGCGUGAGUGACGGUAAUGGGUAAAGAAGCACCGGCUAACUACGUG